AAUAUACUUCCUCCGUCCCAAAAUUCUUGUCUUAGAUUUGUCUAAAUAUAAACGUAUCUAGUCAUGUUUUACUAUUUAGAUACAUUCAUUUUUAGACAAACUUAAGACAAGAAUUUUGGAACGGAGGGAGUAAUUA
rfam:Hordeum vulgare subsp. vulgare, WGS project CAJW01000000 data, contig: morex_contig_68256